rnacentral:tRNA from 1 species
GAUUCCGUAGCUUAAUUGGAUAGAGCAUGGUUACGGCCCAGGAGGUUGGGGGUUCGAGUCCCUUCGGGAUCA